rnacentral:rRNA from 1 species
UACUUGGUGGCGACCGGCGCACGGGUGCGUAACGCGUAUGUAACCUACCUAUAACAGGGGCAUAACACUGAGAAAUUGGUACUAAUUCCCCAUAAUAUUCGGAGAGGCAUCUCUCCGGGUUGAAAACUCCGGUGGUUAUAGAUGGACAUGCGUUGUAUUAGCUAGUUGGUGAGGUAACGGCUCACCAAGGCAACGAUACAUAGGGGGACUGAGAGGUUAACCCCCCACACUGGUACUGAGACACGGACCAGACUCCUACGGGAGGCAGCAUG